GGGGGGUGGGGGUCUUCCAUGGCUUAGAUGAUUAUGUGGAAUAUUCACCAGAAUGUCUGCAGAUGCUGAAAUCUUGUUUUAAAUAACGGCUCCAUUCUGGAUCUCCAUCUUGUAUGGUGCAUUCGCUUUGGAAUGAAGAUUCUGCAGCAGCGAAAGCCACGCGGGAUGAAAGCUACUGUCUGCAUGAAGCUAAGUCUGGUGCUGAACAUCCAGGAGCAAAGAUUUUUCAGUUGCAGACUGCACUGCAGGAGAGCCGAUCGGAUAAUCCAGAGGAGCGAAGCGGCUUCAGAGGACGCCCUGGCAGGCCCGGCAGCCCCAGAAUCAGAUUUUCCUCAGUUGCCUGCAGUAAAAGG